rnacentral:tRNA from 1 species
GGUAGGGUGGCCGAGUAACAGGUAACGGAUUGUAGCUCCGCGGACAAGGGUGCAAAUCCCUUCACUACCA